rnacentral:misc_RNA from 1 species
UUAUUCGGUUAUUCAGUAUUAUUCAGGCGGUGGUGGGUGUCUGAAUGGGAGAGAAAAUGUAUUUCUAAUUCCAACUCGCGCAGGGGAGCUUGUACGUGAAGUAGGAUAUUAUUGUAGAAGGAUUUGAUUUUAAACAAACAAUAUUUUGGCCUAUUGCUAGAAAGCGAAUUAUUACUAAACAGCAUUUGAGUGAUACAGUCCCUAUCAACAGUAGUGUGCUACAUUACAUCAGACCCUGAGAUAACAUUCUAAUUUGAAGUUCUGGAAUGUUAUGCUCUUCAUACUGAUCUGUGCAAUGAAUUCAUGUAAACAAGAUCACAAGUGGAAAUCAAUUCCACAUUCUUCAGCUUCCCAGGCAGACACCUCUCCACAAAGUCAUGUAGUCAGAGUCCAAUGUGUGGAAUCUGAUAUUCUAGCCCUCGCAAUCCCAGCUGCCCUUUGCUUCAACAAGGAUCCCAAAUCAAGUCUACCCAGCGGAUGCCCCAUUAUACGUCCAAGCAAUCGUUACUUGCGGUCUUUCAGUGCCGGGAAUUUGUUAUGCAUGUAAUUACUCAACAAGGAAUUAGUUUUUUUCUGUUAAGGUGGAGAGAAGAAAUGUUCGCUUGGAGAAUCGGCAAAUGGUAUUACUGUUUACUACCCAUGGUGAGAGGGUAGACAAGAUUGCAGAAGGGUUGCGUUGGGUCGCAAAAUAUUCGCGCCAUAUUAUUUCCGCUAUUGCUGCUUGAAGUUCAGUUCCAUGAUUUGACUGAAAAUGGACGAAAAAUGUUACAUAACUUCUUGUUCGACAUCUGUGGAUUGCAGGGCACGUGCAUUGGCCAGUGUCGUAGUAUCAUACGACACCAGCCCCCCCUCUCAAAUUAAUUCAAUCGAAGGGGCUGUUGCAGUGGCAGUCGACAGUAGUAUAGUUCAUGAAAAAUUGCGAUUUUGAUCAAAUCCGACUUUUGGCUAAAAACACGUCAUUUCAACCGCAAAUUUGAUAAGGAUCGCUAAAAUCCUACUCGUUUUGUUAUGGGAUCACUAUUUCCGGAGAUGUUGGCUACUUCCGGAAUUUUUUCAUGGCAGUCUGCAAAAAGUAAAAAAUAAGCUGUAAUAUCCUAAUAAUUUUAAGUAAUUUUAUGGUGUGUGCUUCGGUGUAGCGCUUUUUUCCCCUAUUUUUGCCGCUAUAUACAGUAGUAGUUGCUUUUCGACGGCUACGAAAUGUUAAACGGUAUUCUGAUACUAUAAUUUAAUUUUCUUUUGUAUUGCGCAAAAAGGUCAAAAUAAUAGUCUGAAAGCAGUGAAGUUACUUGCACUUACGAGCAAGACUUAUGCUCCAAUUAAUAGUUUUAUUUUAUUUUUUAAAAUUUGGGUUACAGCAUGGCUUACAGGUAGGAAAACUAGAUGACGCUGCUGUGCUCAUACAUGAUUGAUCACCUGUAACGAGAAAAUCGGUGUUUGACUGUUUGUAGUGUCUUCAAAAUGUUUCUUAACUGUGUUGUUUUUAUUGGAUUCUUCAUUAGAAAAUCAUGGAUUUCCCUUGUUCUCAGCUAUUGAAGCUGCAGGUCUGAAAACAGUCAGCUUCCUGAGUUCCACUUUUCCAUUAAGCUAUUAUCACUGCGUAAAACUGCAAGUUAUUUCAGCCUACUAAAUUACACGAUCUUUGAUGGAGAUCAUCCUAAUGGAACUAAAUGCAUCAGUGAUUCGGACACUGAAGGAAGGUGCAAAAUUGUCAUUCAACCAUGGGAUUACAAAUAGUAUAUUUAUUUGUCAUACACCUUUGUGAUAUAAUUUUCCCUUUUAGAACUUUGAAAUCUUUAAUCUUGUGUUUUUGGAUUCAAUUCCGACAUGAGUAAGCUAAUAUUCUUAAGCAUCUGCAGAUGUAAUUGUUACCAUUCGCGUGUGUAAAGAAAUAAUAUUUUUUCAUCUAACUUGAAAUAUAUUUACAUGAUGGUUACAAGUAUCCAAGUAUUGCCUCCAGAUGACAUCGAGAUACAGUUCAUGUCUAAACGUAAUUCAUGGCUUCCUGGUAGAGCAUCAGCGUCGUAUGCUGAACGUCUUAGGUUCAAUACUCGACAAGGUAUAAAUUAAAGAAAUAAUAGUUAUUCAUCUACUAUGAAAUACUUUUGCAUACUUGUUACAAGUGUCAUAGUUUCCUCCAGAUGACAUCGAGUUACAUUUCAUGAUUAUAUGUAAUGCAUGGCUCCGUGGUAGAGCACCAGUGCCAUGCGGUGAAAGUUCAAGGUUCCAUUCCCGAUAAGGGAUUAAUCAGAGAAAUGACAUCGAGAUACAGUUCAUAUUUUAACGUAGUUCAUGGCUACGUGGUAGAGCAUCAGCUUGGAAUGCUAAAGGUUUAGGGUUCGAUUCCCAACUAAAGAUAACUUAAAAAAUAAAUCGAAAUAAUGUAAGCAAAUUUGUCAUGUGUGGAAGCAUUUCGAAC